UCUGUUGGUGCUGAUUACUCGCCCGUACCGUAAACCGACACAGGUGGGUGAGUGUAAAUGCACUAAGGCGCGCGAGAGAGACCUCUCUAAGGAACUCGGCACAUUAGCCUCGUAACUUCGGGAAAAGAGGUGCUCACUUCGGUGAGCCACAGUAAAUUGCGUUUAGCGACUGUUUAACAAAAACACAGCACUCUGCUAAGUCGUUAAGACGACGGAUAGGGUGUGACACGUGACCAAUGCGGAAAGAUUAAGGCAUUUUGUUAGCCGCAAGGCGAAGCUCGGUGCCAAAGUCCCCGUGAAUGUCGGCCGUAACUAUAACGGUCCUAAGGUAGCGAAAUUCCUUGUCGGGUAAGUUCCGACCUGCACGAAUCGUGUAACGACUGAACGACUGUCUCGGAGAGGAUCUCGGCGAAACUGUAACUGCGGUGAAGAUGCCGCAUGCCCGCAGUAGGACGAAAGACCCUAUGCACCUUUACUGUAAGCUGGUAUUGUGUUCUGAUUAAUAAUGCGUAGCGUAGGUGGGAGGCUUUGAAGUGAGUGCUUCGGUGCUCAUGGAGCCGCAAUGUGAAACACCACUCUUUGCUAAUUAGGAUUCUAACCUCGAUUCCUGUCAACCAGGCGAGGGACAGUGCUUGCGGGUCAGUUUGACUGGGGCGGUUUCCUCCCAAAGAGUAACGGAGGAGCGCGAAGCUUGGCUCAGCACGGUUGGCAACCGUGCGUCGAGCGUAUGGGUAUAAGCCAGGUUAACUGUGAGACCUACAAGUCGAGCAGAUGCGAAAGCAGGCCCAAAUGAUCCGAUGGUUUAAUGUGGAAUUGCCAUCGCUCAACGGACAAAAGGUACGCUAGUGAUAACAGGCUGAUCGGUUCCAAGAGUUCACAUCGACGAACCGGUUUGGCACCUCGAUGUCGGCUCAUCGCAUCCUGGGGCUGGAGAAGGUCCCAAGGGUCCGGCUGUUCGCCGGUUAAAGCGGUACGCGAGCUGGGUUCAGAACGUCGUGAGACAGUUCGGUCCUUAUCCACUGUGGGCGCAGGAAUCUUGAGGGGUUCAUUCUCUAGUACGAGAGGACCGAGAAUGACGCACUUCUGGUGUGGCAGUUGUUCCAUCAGGGGCAUCGCUGCGUAGCCAUGUGCGGAAGAGAUAAGCGCUGAAAGCAUCUAAGUGCCAAGCUCAUCCCAAGAUAUGGAUUCCCGGACGCAAGUCCCUAAAGACCCCCGGCAGACUACCGGGUUGAUAGGUCAGGCAUGUAAGCGUCGCGAGAUGUUUAGUGGACUGAUACUAAUUGGUCGUGCGGCUUGAUCGC
rnacentral:rRNA from 1 species